AGGUGUCCCCCAACCUCGUGCCCAAAGUCCCCUGGGAUUGGCUCCAGGCUUCCCACAACCCUGUGUAGGUUAAAUGGAAAAUGGAUGGACGGAUGGACGGGAAUAUACAUACUGAUGAUCUGUCUCAUUAUCAGAUAAACACACCUCACAGUAACAAGUCUCUACCGCGCUCGGGACUGGAUUUUACUGCGAGCUACAUCUCAUAACUGAGAAAGUUGCGAUAGGAACUUCACACCGCGCAUGUCCUCAUUUGACUGUUUCAGGUUGCACAACUUCCCUGGAAAAAGACUCUCCAACCAAACCUGCUUCUGACCUGAGGAAUAUGAGGUCCACCUCAUGCCUGCUCGACCCGCCGUCAGCUCUUCUGGUCUUCUGCAAACCUUCUGCUCAUGACUGGAAAACCUUCUUUGAGAAUUCAGUUGCGCAACCCCGAUGACUGACCCUCAGCUCAUAUCUCACACGGUUGACCAGCCAGACACUCGUAUCUCUGUUUGUCAUCAGCGCAUCCCACACACACACACACACACACACACACACACACACCCUUUUCCUGAACCCGCAUAGCAGAACCACUGUCGUCAUCCCAUCUCCCACUGCAGCGGCGAUCUGCUAAACACAUGUUGCGUAAACCAGGCCAAAUCCUCGCUGAGUAACGCACCAUGCUUCCUUUCUACACCACAUAUCACGCGAUACGGCACGGAGCCGGACAGGGAACCAAAAUUCAAUUCGCAAUAAAAAUUUAUACAAGGCGGUUUGUUAGCGUGUUAACAUGUUUAACAGGUUUUUCCGUCUUUGCGGCCAAGACCUUUAAAAAAAAAACCUGACAGUUUGCUAGAACGCGUACGACAAGUCGGAGCCUGCGAUGGCGAAGUCACGUGACAUUUUGUGCAUGUCCACCAAGAUUCUGGAACCUUUUUAGUUCUUAAAAAAAAAAGAGAAAAAGUUCUGGAACCUUCUUGAACAGGUACUUCACAGUUCCUGGAUGAGUUCCUGGAUGACAUGACUAAAACCUUUAAUGGAAUUUCCGAGCGUCCUGAGUUUUUGAAAAUAUCCUCAGCGUUUUUCUGUGGUGAAGACGCUCCUUGUAGAACCUCAGAUGAGCCCAGUUGUUCUUGAGUUCCUCAAGCGUUGCUCGUGAGCUAGACAUGUGCCUAGAGAAAACGAAUCUCGGCCUGCGUAUUUUCUGGUCCCGCGUUCCGGAAAUAGCCAUCGGUACUUAAAAUAACACCCGAUUUCUGUUUUUUGGUUCCUGAAAAAGUCAUCGCAAAAACGCACCAUGUGGUGGAAACGCGCCUUGUAGAACCUAAAUUGUUCUGUUUGUGAGUUCUUGAGCAGGCAAGCGGUUUUAGAAAACGUAGAAAGGAAGGGUGCCUAGUAGGACCGAAUACGUUUUUAGUUCUGGAGUUUCUGAAGGAAAAAAGCGCUUGGUUCCUGAAAGGGUUCCUGUGGUGGAAAUGGGUCUGGUAGAUCCUAAAAUCAGGUCACGUCACCGGUUCCAGAAAAGGUUCCUGUGCCCAGUAAUUCAUUUGGUUGUCAUUACAUAAACGUCUCAAUGAAGAACAAUGACAACACUUAUCAUGACUAGUAGGUCAUGCGGCUGAGUCAUGUUCCAGACUAUUAUAUGUAGGAACUCAUUUCGGAAGGGGGAGGGGCUCAGGUGAUGAGUCGCCCAGCAAAUCGGUGACAAAAUGUAUCAAGGGUGAUGAGUGACGUGUUUUUUUUUUUUUUGGUAAUAAUUCCAAGCGUGGAUGAUUUGGUCGUAGCAGGAGUAUUAUCCUCAUGGUUCUUCAGUGGGUUCUUUGUAUCGUUAAUGGUUCUUCGCUUGCGAAACGAAAAUAUUUGCAAUACGGAAAGGGUUCUAGAUUUGACCGUUUGCAUACCUUUCCAUACAACUGGUGUGAAUCCUGGUCUGUUUCCCGGGAAAGACCCGGAAUGUGAAAACUCUCCCAGCUUCCGUGUUCUAUCACGAUGCCAAAGUGUCACGUGUAUCUCCUCAAGGCUUUCGAUGCAAAUCUGACUGCGUUCUGCCGAAGCCCCAAAACAAUCCCAGACUGGCUUUGAAGCCGGCCAAACCCGUUCCACGUCUUAUCAGCCCUUUGUCAUUCGAACUCGGAGCAACAGACGAGCUGUUAGUGCUCUUAACGAGGAAGGUAAACGAGUGUGGGGGGUUUUUUUGGUUUGUUUUUUCCUCAUGGAACUUCAAUAUGCAAAAACAUACAAGCUUUCUGACUAAACCAUCACACACGUCUUUCACACCAAACUUCAGAAAGAAAUCUUCGAGGUGCUUCCACUAGGCGAGACGCGUCCGGUCAAUGAAUUUAGCUUUAUUUAUUUAUUUAUUAAAGAAUUUGCACUGGAGCUACGUUUAAGCAACGGGUUCAAAUUUUAGAGCUACAAGUUUAGCAUUCUGUAAAUUUUAGGCGUCGAUCAUCGAUCAUCGGUCCCUCAGGGAUUCCGUGAUUUUUUUUUUGCGUGAUCGCAGAAUCGAACGCAAAACUGAGCAAACUCCGCGAGAUCCGCUUGCAAUUUGAAUAAAUUACCGCAGAUGUUCCGCAGAUUCGGGCCGAGACGCAAAUUGUUCCUAUAACAUGACCUUUAACCUCAGAGCCACAGGGUUCGGAAACGGCGAUAAACAGACUUCGCUUCGAACAAUGCUGAGGAAGUCGAGACAUAAAGUAGCGCUCGCGCGAUACGAUCGGUUCACUUUAUCACACAGCCAGGACAGGUGCCUCUGAGGCGAGCGUGCGGCGGCGUGGACACGAUGAGACAAGAUCGCAGGCGUCCGGAGAUUCCAGUGAAACAAAACAUUUAAGUGUCGGCUCGUGCAGAGUGUUUACUAAGAAGGGGAAACUCUUUUCCGUGGAAUUCCGUGAUGUAACCUCGCUGCAGUCGUUUAUGAGCUUCUGUGCGUGAGCAAAAGUUUUGGCACCCCAACACACACACACACACCAGGAGCACCAAAGCACGUCUAGUCCAUGUGUGUUUUAAGCGUUCAGUGUUUUGUAUAUAAUAUAAUAAUGACCUGGCACUCAGCAACACACACACACACACACACACAAAACAGAAGUUUCCUUCCUGACCAAACAAUAUGGAACAUUGUUUUAUGUGUGAGAGAAAAUGAGUGUGUGUGUGUGGUGAGGUGUUAUUGGUACAGGAAACGGAGCAUUACUGUAACAGAAACGUAAAAACACACUGAAUCAUAAUCAGCAUUUCUGACGCAGUUGGCUGAUUCCCAUGGGACUGGUGUUGGGUGUGUUACAGUUUGGGUUUAAUGGUGAGUCAGCGAGUGCACACACACACACACACACACACACACACACACACACACACACACACACACACACACACACACACACACACACACACAGACACAGAGGAAGCAAAAGUGCAGAGAGAGAAAGAGAGAGAGAGAUCCUGGUGUGGAAUCAGGAAUGUAUGUAUAAGUUUGUAUCACUUAAAAGUCAGAUUUCCUGUUUUUCCGGAAUCUUCUAUCAGAAUGCAUUUUUUUCCCUCCACAUUAUAAUAUCUUUUAUCUGAGCUCAGGGGGUUACUGUGAGUGAGUGUGGAGCUUCUCAUGUUCUCCCCGUGUCUGUGUGGGGUUCCUCUGGGUUCCUCCGGGGUUCUCCGGGUUCCUCCCAAAAACUCUGCCGAAUUCGAUCUAUUUUUCAUUCUGAUGAGACUAUUGAUUUUUCUAUUCUAUUUAUUUAUUUAGGUUAAAACUCUAUUCUGAUAUGUCCAUUGUGUCCGCUCUAUUCUGUAUUCCAUUCUCCUCUCGAUUUCAUUCUUUUCCAUUCUAUAAUGGCAAUUUUGUUCGAUCGUGACAAAACGCUUUUCCAUUCCAUUCCAUUACAAUAAAACUCCAUUCUAUUCUGAUUAUUCUACUCUAUUCUGAUAAAACUCUAAUACAACAAAACACCCUUCGAUUCUAUUCUCACGAGACCGUUCUCUUCUAUUACGACAGCUCUGUUUCAGUCUGUUAUAAUAAACCUCCAUUCUAUUCUA